GGCGCUCACUACACACCGGGAGCAACUAGGGGAUUAAGGACCUUGCCCGAGGGCCCUUAGUGAUUUUCUAGUCAGGCUGGGAUUUGAACCGAAGAUCCUUUGGUCUCAAGCCCAACACUUAAUCGCUAGCCCAUCACCUCCCAAAAUUGGGAAGAUCAG